AAAAAGUAGGGCAUAUCAAAGUUCAUAGAAACACACAAUUAAACUUCACAAUAAAGAUACAUGCAAUUAAAAAAACAAAAGUUCACGGUAAAACGAGAGCCACUAAAAGUACAACCAUAAUUAAAAACACAAAAAUAAUAAUAAUAAUAAAAAAAACUAAUAAAUAAAAAAUCUAAUACUACCCAAACCAAGGUCUUCAAUCCUCCUCAUAAACA
rnacentral:lncRNA from 1 species